rnacentral:rRNA from 1 species
CCUCCUUCGGGCCUCUUGCCAUCAGAUGUGCCCAGAUGGGAUUAGCUKGUUGGUGAGGUAACGGCUCACCAAGGCGACGAUCCCUAGCUGGUCUGAGAGGAUGACCAGCCACACUGGAACUGAGACACGGUCCAGACUCCUACGGGAGGCAGCAGUGGGGAAUAUUGCACAAUGGGCGCAAGCCUGAUGCAGCCAUGCCGCGUGUAUGAAGAAGGCCUUCGGGUUGUAAAGUACUUUCAGCGGGGAGGAAGGKRKURWGGUUAAUAACCKYAGYMAUUGACGUUACCCGCAGAAGAAGCACCGGCUAACUCCGUGCCAGCAGCCGCGGUAAUACGGAGGGUGCAAGCGUUAAUCGGAAUUACUGGGCGUAAAGCGCACGCAGGCGGUCUGUCAAGUCGGAUGUGAAAUCCCCGGGCUCAACCUGGGAACUGCAUUCGAAACUGGCAGGCUUGAGUCUUGUAGAGGGGGGUAGAAUUCCAGGUGUAGCGGUGAAAUGCGUAGAGAUCUGGAGGAAUACCGGU